rnacentral:ncRNA from 1 species
GUUUGGGGGUGCCGCACUAUGCUGUGUGGCUGAGAACAUACCCAUGGAAUCUGAUCCGGGUCAUACCGGCGUAGAGAACUAAACUUAUUA